rnacentral:rRNA from 1 species
CCUACGGGAGGCAGCAGUGAGGAAUAUUGGACAAUGGGCGCAAGCCUGAUCCAGCCAUGCCGCGUGCAGGAUGACGGUCCUAUGGAUUGUAAACUGCUUUUAUACGAGAAGAAACACCCCUACGUGUGGGGACUUGACGGUAUCGUAAGAAUAAGGAUCGGCUAACUCCGUGCCAGCAGCCGCGGUAAUACGGAGGAUCCAAGCGUUAUCCGGAAUCAUUGGGUUUAAAGGGUCCGUAGGCGGUUUAGUAAGUCAGUGGUGAAAUCUCCCCGCUCAACGGGGAAACGGCCAUUGAUACUGCUAGACUUGAAUUAUUAGGAAGUAACUAGAAUAUGUAGUGUAGCGGUGAAAUGCUUAGAGAUUACAUGGAAUACCAAUUGCGAAGGCAGGUUACUACUAAUGGAUUGACGCUGAUGGACGAAAGCGUGGGUAGCGAACAGGAUUAGAUACCCUGGUAGUCCACGCCGUAAACGAUGGAUACUAGCUGUUGAAGCAAUUUCAGUGGCUAAGCGAAAGUGAUAAGUAUCCCACCGNGGAGGUACGUUCGCGAGAAGUAGAACGUUACGAAAGUAAAGUUAGUUACGGACGUUGAGACGNGCGACGGACGACGACGAGGGAGGAGG